AGAGUUUGAUCAUGGCUCAGAAUCAACGCUGGCGCGCGCCUAACACAUGCAAGUCGAACGAGAAAGUGGAGCAAUCCAUGAGUACAGUGGCGUACGGGUGAGUAACACGUGGGUAAUCUACCCUUUGGUGGGGAAUAACUCUGGGAAACUAGAGCUAAUACCGCAUAAUCCCGAGAGGGAAAAGCAGCAAUGCGCCGAAG
rnacentral:rRNA from 1 species